AUGAAUCUCAUCAGUUGGAACUGUCGGGAUGGGGGGAACUCCCGGACAGUUCGUGAAAUUGCGACAAUCUCUUAGUCACAUUCCAUCAUGUUCGUUUUUCUGUGUGAGACUAGGCAGAAGGAUGAAAAAAUGAUAAGGUUUCGUGCACGUCUCGGCUUGAAAGGAUUUGAUGGUGUUGAUAGUAAUGGUUUGACUAGCGGACUAGCGCUCUUUUGGCAUGAAUCAUGUGGUGUUGAGGUUUUGGAUAAGGAUGCUCGUUACAUCGAUGCCUUGGUCAGGUUGCAGGCUGAUGCGGAGCAAUGGCGGGUUACUUCUGUUUAUGGAGAACCACGUAUCGCAAACCGUCAUCUUAUGUGGGCAAAAGUUCUAGGUUUAAAAAAUAUCAGCGACUGGCCGUUUCUUGUAAUUGGAGACUUCAAUGAAUCCUUUUGGAACUUUGAACACCUCUCUGCUACCCUGAGGCUAGAACAACAGAUGAUAGCAUUGAGAAAUGUUUUGGAAAUUUGCGGUUUGGUUGAUAUUUGCUUUUCUGGUAUCCUGUUUACUUAUGAUAGUUCGCGUGCCGGGGCCAACAACGUCAAGGUUCGUCUAGACAUGGCAACGACAACGAAUGAAUGGAGUAAUCUUUUUCUGUUUUCACCAAGUUCAACAUGUUGUAUCACCUUGCUCGGACCAUGUCACACUGGUGUUGAUGGGCGCUCCUGA
rnacentral:rRNA from 1 species